GACCUGCAGUGGGUACGGGCACACUAGAGUGCGGUAGGGGAGAUUGGAAUUCCUGGUGUAGCGGUGGAAUGCGCAGAUAUCAGGAGGAACACCAAUGGCGAAGGCAGAUCUCUGGGCCGUAACUGACGCUGAGGAGCGAAAGCGUGGGGAGCGAACAGGAUUAGAUACCCUGGUAGUCCACGCCGUAAACGGUGGGAACUAGAUGUGGGGUCCGUUCCACGGAUUCCGUGUCGCAGCUAACGCAUUAAGUUCCCCGCCUGGGGAGUACGGCCGCAAGGCUAAAACUCAAAGGAAUUGACGGGGGCCCGCACAAGCGGCGGAGCAUGCGGAUUAAUUCGAUGCAACGCGAAGAACCUUACCAAGGCUUGACAUAUAGAGGAAAAGUGCAGAAAU
rnacentral:rRNA from 1 species